rnacentral:tRNA from 3 species
GGGCCCGUGGCUUAGUCUGGCUAGAGCGUUCGACUGAUAAUCGGAAGGUCGCCGGUUCAAAUCCGGCCGGGCCCA